rnacentral:rRNA from 1 species
UGCCUUCAGGAUGGGGACAACAGACGGAAACGACUGCUAAUACCGAAUAAGUUCCAAGAGCCGCAUGGCCCAUGGAAGAAAAGGUGGCCUCUACCUGUAAGCUAUCGCCUGAAGAGGGGUUUGCGUCUGAUUAGCUGGUUGGAGGGGGUAACGGCCCACCAAGGCGACGAUCAGUAGCCGGUCUGAGAGGAUGAACGGCCACACUGGAACUGAGACACGGCCAGACUCCUACGGGAGGCAGCAUG